UGGGGAAUAUUGGACAAUGGGGGGAACCCUGAUCCAGCCAUGCCGCGUGUGUGAAGAAGGCCUUAUGGUUGUAAAGCACUUUAAGCGAGGAGGAGGCUACUUUAGUUAAUACCUAGAGAUAGUGGACGUUACUCGCAGAAUAAGCACCGGCUAACUCUGUGCCAGCAGCCGCGGUAAUACAGAGGGUGCGAGCGUUAAUCGGAUUUACUGGGCGUAAAGCGUGCGUAGGCGGCUUUUUAAGUCGGAUGUGAAAUCCCCGAGCGUAACUUGGGAAUUGCAUUCGAUACUGGGAAGCUAGAGUAGGGGAGAGGAUGGUAGAAUUCCAGGUGUAGCGGUGAAAGGCGUAGAGAUCUGGAGGAAUACCGAUGGCGAAGGCAGCCAUCUGGCCUAAUACUGACGCUGAGGUACGAAAGCAUGGGGAGCAAACA
rnacentral:rRNA from 1 species